GACGAACGCUGGCGGCGUGCUUAACACAUGCAAGUCGAACGAGUGGCGAACGGGUGAGUAAUACGUGGGUAACCUGCCCUCUUUUUGGGAUAAGCCUUGGAAACGGGGUCUAAUACCGAAUAAGGGGGGUGGGCUCGGGGCCUAUCAGCUUGUUGGGGGGGUGAUGGCCUACCAAGGCGGUGCCGGGUAGCCGGCCUGAGAGGGUGACCGGGCACAUGGGGAGUGAGAUACGGCACAGAGUCCUACGGGAGGGAGCAGUGGGGGAUAUUGCACAAUGGGGGAAAGCCUGAGGCAGCGACGCCGCGUGGGGGAUGAAGGCUUUCGGGUUGUAAACCUCUUUCGCAAGCGAACGGGUAGGUGGAGAAGAAGCGCCGGCUAACUACGUGCCAGCAGCCGCGGUAAUAC
rnacentral:rRNA from 1 species